GCCUGAGGUAGCCUGUGGGAAAACGAAACAGCACCAUUGACCUAGUCUUUCAGCCAAUCCCACUGCAUUUGUACAAUGCAGUCUGACACCAGAGGAACUGCCCAGCCAAGCUCAGGCAAAAUUGCUGACUUCAGACUCAUGAACUAAAUAAAUAUUUGUUUCAUUUGGUGGUUGUUCUUAUGCAACAUUAUGCUGGCACUAGAAAAAUGAAACAGAUGGGAAUCAAAAAGACUGAAUGAAGCAGAAACCCAGAAGCUACCCCACAAGCAAUCACAUGGGACUCAGAUGUGAAUGGACAAUAAGCUUUUAUUGCAUUGAAAGGUCAUUGCAGUGAAAGGUUGGGGAUUGCUUGCUGCUACAGCUGAAUGGAUUCUAUUCUGACCAAUACACACAGAAAGAGAUCACAGACUCCCUACCUUAGAAGAAGGGAGGUGGUAGAUGAAAUGAACUGUAUGAAGAGCCACUAGCCUGGCCCACACACAGAAGAAGGACUGGCCCGUCUUCUUGAAGCCCAUGCUCUGGUAGAGGGCCAUAGCAGAGAGCUGGAUGGUGCCGGUGUCCAGGAUAACUUCACUGUAGCCCUGGUCCCGGGCAAACUGGAGGACAGUCCUGACCAGGGCUUUUGCUAUCCCCU
rnacentral:lncRNA from 1 species